ensembl:lncRNA
AUCAGAGUUUCCAUCUUGCCUUACAAAUCUGGUGUUCACUGGCGUUACCUCUACAUGAAUGUCUUAUGAAUUUGAAUUUUGGAAAUAAUUAAGUGGAUAAUUUACACUUGUCAAUCAGUGCAUGUUAAAAAUAACUAAUAACUGAGUGAUUUCUGAGUUUGCAGGUAUGUGUAAAAUUAGACAGGUUAUGAAAUUGUAUACAAAACAUUAUAUUGUAUUUGGUUUGAGGCAUCAGAUCUACCAGACAUGGUUAAUGUUAAUUUUUCUUUUCAGUCAAAUAAUAAUGGAUGAGCCUGUCAUGGACAUGUUAACAAGAGAUCCAGAUGAUGAGAUUCCUCCAGGGAGACAUCAACAUCUAGAUGACGUCCUGGACAACCCCCAACUUGCAGCAGAGCAGCUUAUUAAAAGGCUUCACCUUGAAAGUAAACACCAACUCCUGAGAGCUGUUGAUUUCCUUCAGUCAGCUGUACAGUCCCAGUUCCCAGAGUCGUGUGCAGAGGACGAGAUGCCACAGAUUUUUCUACAAAAAUUGCUGAUGAUGGACUACAGAGCAAGAGGCCUCCAGGUUAAAGAGAACAAUGAACAACAUCACGCACACCAAACAGACAGUGACUCAUUUAAGGGUGUUGGUAAUGCCUAUGAUGAUCUUUUUGAAGAAACUGCAAAACCUGCUGAUGAAACGAACAAAUCAGAUCCUGUCCAUAGGGCUGCACGAUUAAUCGCAUGCAUUUGUCAUGCGUGUCUCAUCAGUAAAGCCGGUUCCGUGAUUAGCGGUAAAUGUCUGUCACCUGUUUUCAAACGGGAGCGGCAGUUAAUACACAGAGCCGUAGUUCACUGACAAGAUACGCAAUAUUCUGUUCAUAAUUGAGAUUAAUCGCAUUCGAUUAUGAACACGAUAUUGCGUAGCUUGUCAGUGAACUAUGGCUCUGUGUAUGAACUCCCGGUGCAUUUGAAAACAGGUGACGGAUAUUUACCGCUAAUCACGGAACCAGCUUUACUGAU